UAAGCUUCUUAUUCUAACAGUCGAGGAAGUUUUACGAAUUGGGCCGGACCUCAACACUUGAUUUCUACCAUGUCGUUUAAGCAAGGUGGAAAAGUGAAGCGUUAAAUCAACCAAAGGCUGAUAAGAAAGAAUACGAUUAGGUAUACGUUGCUAUAUUGAUUGGUUUUCUAUUUUGUAUUUACGUUCUGGUUGUUUCGAUUGCUGAUCUGAUGCUUUUGAUGAGGCAAUUGAUUGGAUUAAGCUGUAUGGUUAAUUUCGUUGGUUUAAGUUUAAGUACUUCCUAGACUUACAUUAGAUUUCAGUUUCUGUUCUUCUUU